CGUUAAAAGCGAGCACGGGAAAUCGGGCAAGGUCGAAUCGAAUUUCGUUAGAAGAGGGGAGCGAAGUGGUUGACAUGGAGCCGCCACGGCCACCACACACUUCUGAAUCGACUGUUCCCUCGCCUUCUGCGUCGGACGUAGCGUGCUCGAGCUUGAUGGCAGUGGAGGACGAAGUGGCCGAGAUGACAUUGACUGUGAAGUGGAGCGGAAAGGAAUACACAGUGAGGGUUUGCUGUGACGAUAGCGUGGCGGAACUUAAGCGGCGGAUCUGCGAGCUUACGAACGUUCUUCCUAAGCGUCAGAAGCUCCUUUAUCCGAAGCUUGCCAACAAGUUUGGCGACGAUUCUCUUAUGCUUUCCCAAUUCAAUCUUAAGCCCUCCAUUAAGAUGACCAUGAUUGGUACUGUUGAAGAUGAUAUUAUCAUAGACCAACUAGAUUCACCCAAAAUAGUUGAUGAUUUUGAUUUGGGCCAAGAUGAGAUUGUUGAUAUCAAAGACAAAGAUGUAAACAAACAGAAACUGAGGCGUCGGAUCAGUCAAUACAAGAUCAAACUUCGGAAUCCAUGUCGUGAGGGGAAGAAGCUGCUAGUUUUGGACAUUGAUUAUACUCUCUUCGAUCACAGGUCCCCGGCUGAAAGCCCUCUGGAGCUCAUGAGGCCAUAUUUGCAUGAGUUCCUCUCUUCUGUUUAUGCAGAGUAUGACAUCAUAAUUUGGUCAGCAACUAGCAUGAAAUGGAUUGAGCUAAAGAUGGGACAGCUCGGCGUAUUGAACAAUCCCAUCUACAAGAUAACGGCUCUUCUUGAUCAUCUGGCCAUGGUCACUGUUCAAACCGAUUCACACGGGACAUUUGAGUGCAAGCCACUUGGCCUAAUCUGGGCUCAUUUCCCUCAGUUCUAUAGUUCAAUGAAUACCAUAAUGCUUGAUGAUCUGCGAAGAAAUUUUGUUAUGAAUCCACAAAAUGGUCUUACCAUCAGACCUUUCAGGAAAGCCCAUCUGAAUCGUAGCAGUGACCAAGAGUUGGCUAAGCUUAGUCAAUAUUUACUGGCCAUAUCCGAGCUUCCUGAUCUGAGUUCGCUUAAUCACCGGGACUGGGAAUCAUACACAGAAGAUAGCUCUAAAAGGCGCAGACAAAGUUGAAAAAGUCGCGACGUUCCUUGCUAUAUGCAUGUUAGAUAAAUGAAGAUAUCUGGAGCUACCUUUUACUGAACAUGCAAUUUGGUGUGCUGCCAUCCUGUGACUUUACUGUCAUGGCUUGGUGCACAACCUUGGCGGCUGUUUCUUUCUCAUAUUAUUUGGACUUUCAUUUUGGAGGACUGGAUGUGCUUGGAACCUCUGUUAUUAUCUCUUGACCUUCUUGGUUGGUCCAAGCCUAGCAACUAGGUAGCGGUCUGAAUCCAGUUGCUUUUAGGGAUAUCAUUUUUCGUUGUUUUGUUUAGGUGGUUUUGGCCCUAACGCUUACUAUUUUUUCCUCUGGAUGUAUUCUUCUUUGUGGCUAUUUUUGGGCUUGUGACUUGUGUUGUAAUGCUCCUUUUA